UACAGAGGGUGCGAGCGUUAAUCGGAAUUACUGGGCGUAAAGCGUGCGUAGACGGUAGCGUAAGUCAGAUGUGAAAGCCCCGGGCUCAACCUGGGAAUGGCAAUGGAUACUGGCAGGCUAGAGUGCGGUAGAGGGUAGUGGAAUUCCCGGUGUAGCGGUGAAAUGCGUAGAGAUCGGGAGGAACACCAGUGGCGAAGGCGGCUACCUGGGCCAAUAUUGACGCUGAGGUGCGAAAGCGUGGGGAGCAAACAGG
rnacentral:rRNA from 1 species